ACGGGAGGCAGCAGUAGGGAAUAUUGCACAAUGGGGGAAACCCUGAUGCAGCAACGCCACGUGUGGGAAGAAGCAUUUCGGUGUGUAAACCACUGUCGUGAGGGAAUAAAGCUGGAGUUGUCCAGUUGAAUGUACCUCGAAAGGAAGCACCGGCAAACUUCGUGCCAGCAGCCGCGGUACUACGGGGGGUGCAAGCGCUGUUCGGAAUCACUGGGCGUAAAGGGAGCGCAGGCGGAAGUGCAAGCGGUCUGUACAAUACCGGGGCCCAACCCCGGACCUGCAGACCGGACUGCAUUUCCUGGAUAGUUCAGGGGCAAGCGGAAUUCCUGGUGUAGCGGUGGAAUGCGUAGAGAUCAGGAAGAACACCGAUGGCGAAGGCAGCUUGCUGGGGACUUAUCGACGCUCAUGCUCGAAAGUGCGGGUAGCAAACAGGAUUAGAUACCCUGGUA
rnacentral:rRNA from 1 species